UAAAUAGAUAAUUUUACAACAAAAUAAUUCGCCAGAGGACUACUAGCAAUAGCUUAAAACUCAAAGGACUUGGCGGUGCUUUAUAUCCCUCUAGAGGAGCCUGUUCUAUAAUCGAUAAACCCCGAUAAACCUCACCACCUUUCGCUAAUUCAGUCUAUAUACCGCCAUCUUCAGCAAACAAA
rnacentral:rRNA from 1 species